CGUAGGUGUAAACAAAGAUGGAGGCUGUGGUUGUAGCAGCAUUACUUUGCAGUGAGGUGGAAAAAACACAAGGUUAAACUGACAACAAAGUGGUUGGAUAGACACUGUCAGCACAAGUUGUCUAUUCAAGGGUGAAAGGUAUUCAGGAGGGAGAGGACAACGUCUCCCCGCUGGACAAUUUACUGCCCUUCUCUGGGAAUUCUACAUGAUCCAGUGGGCAGAAGAAGAUCAAUGGACUUUUACACUAUAUUGUGGCCAUCUUUGAUAUUCCUUAUAGAGCAUGACAGAAUUCCCCGAAGCGUGACCUGUCAGUUACUGCCGUCAAAAGAAUUCGCUCACAAACAAAAAUAAAGGAGCCGAGCAUUGGCGAAAGCAUGCACACUAUGCACGCAGUCAGCUGGACAAUUGCAAGAGCAUGCAUGUGCAUGCUUAAACUGUGGCUCAUGAUUUACACUCCCAAAUGACUCAUCAUGACAUUAAAUGAAAACGAGAGAGCGAUCAAAUUAUCUUUUAUCCGCCGGCUGCUGCCUGACAGGAUUGCAACUGUGUUUGAAAGUUAAAAUUUUUUUAAAAAGCGGAAAGCCUCUAAGGCUGGGCUGAAGUUCAACGGUUUCAGGAUGUCUGCCAUGCUCCACCCGUGUACUAUGUAAAUCAGACAAAUGAGCAAGAUACAUGAUGUAAUGAAGGAGAAGACUACAAUGUUUGGGUGUGUCAGAGCAUGGAAAGUUUAAACCAAUGAGGUACCUCGAAGACAAAGAGAGGCAUGAAGUCACCUUUGGAGAGCCCUUUUUUUGAUAGGCAUGAGAAUUUUUAAAAAACUAUUCAGUGCACUUCUGUGAAUUGACGUAUUAUUGAAAUCACUCAUACUCAGUACGUUUCACUUCAAGUUUCACAAACAUGCCAAAUGUUUUUGAUUGGUUGCCUCCACCUAAGGAGUCAUAGUUUGUGUGCAGAGAAAGUUCAAUAUUUUUUGCAUUAUCGUCUUGAUGCAGUUUUGCAUUUAUUUAGUUCAGCAUGUUAGAUUAGAGGCAGUUAUUGUCAUUUGUGAUGGCUAUCCUUUUCAUAACGCCACUGUAAGUUUUCGAUAUUGCUGUCAGUCCUUGGAUGUUGGAAAUCUUGGAUGUUGUGUUUUUGAGUGCAGAGCUGUGUUCAAAGUGCUUUCCUGCUUUCCAUUAUAACAUUAAGGGAGGUGUAUACAGAAUAUCUUAUAUUUGAUCGUCAUUUUAUAAGUCAUGAUUUCCAGAAAGCCUCAUCUUGUGUUACUUCUAAUAUUAAAAGAUGAAACCUUAGUCUUUGUGAGUUUUGAUCAACACAUUCUUCUUGCUCCUGUAGGUUUGUCUACAGGUUUAACCUGAUUCUGCCUGUGACAUGGACAAUUGCCUCGCAACUAUUCAAAGAAGCAGAAUUUGCCAGUCAGAGUCAGUUUCUAGUAAUAACCUCUUUCAAAUAUCAUCCUCCGUUUCACG